AGACGUAUAGCUCAGUGGUAGAGUGUGUGCUUGGCAUGCACAAGUUCCUGGGUUCAAUCCCCCAUAGCUCCA
rnacentral:tRNA from 1 species